rnacentral:rRNA from 1 species
UACCAGCACCCCGAGUGGUCUGGACGAUUAUUGGGCCUAAAGCAUCCGUAGCCGGUCAUGCAAGUCCUCCGUUAAAUCCACCUGCUUAACAGAUGGGCUGCGGAGGAUACUACAAGGCUAGGAGGCGGAAGAGGCAAGCGGUACUCAGUGGGUAGGGGUAAAAUCCUCUGAUCCAUUGAAGACCACCAGUGGCGAAGGCGGCUUGCCAAUACGCGCUCGACGGUGAGGGAUGAAAGCUGGGGGAGCAAACCGG